rnacentral:lncRNA from 1 species
GCAGAAUUCUUUCGGAGCCGGCGUUGGAGCAGAGGCCGGCAGGCCGUUGCCCUUGGUGACGGCAGAGACAGUGUCAUUGGCCGGAGGGUGUUGAGACAGGGGCCGUUCCCGAAAGAGCCCCGGACCUGGAGCCUGCCCCCUUCCUCCAGCAACUCCAUUGCUUUCCACCUGCCGCCUUGUCUUCUCACCUGGACCUUUCCCUGUGACCUCUGGAGCUCUGGACACCAUGGGCCCUUGCCCCCUCUUUAGGAUUUCAGAAAGCUUCCUGGAACAUCCAAGACAGGCAGCUAUGCAAUGAAUCCAGUUUGGACACGGGUUUUAUUUGGCCUGCAUCUUUAAAAAAAUGUGCACCUGUACUGUGAAAAGAGGAGGUUGCGUGCAGAGAGCAGAGCUGCGGGCCGGGCCCUGAGCCAAGUGCUGGGAGUGCAGGGGGAGGAGGGCAGAGGCAGAGGCAGACCGAUGGCAGGCACCAAUGGCAGACCAAUGGCAAGCAUUGCACAACGAUGACAUUAUUGGAUGGUGAUAAGAGCCGUGGAGGAGCAUCAGCGAGACAGGGAGGUGGUGACCUUUUACUGGGUGCUCAGGGAGACUUCAGGGUUGGGGUGGAGGCCACCGGGGGAGGAGGGGGAAGCAUUCACCAGAGAAAGGACCUGGUCCUGGGAGACCAACGAGUGCUCAGCAUUUGCAGACCUGGAGCUCAGCACACAGGCCAGAGGCUCUGAAGGUUUGAGGUCAGAGGACUCCCAGAUCUUCAAACCUCGAGGCACAGAUAUGUUCCGACACAGCUGCCCUGGCCCCGUCUGGCUUCCUAGAAGGGCUGAGGAGAGCUGCCAGGACGAGUCUCCUUUUAUCAUGGCAGAUCCACAUGUCAAGGAACUAAGAGUGACCUCCAGGCAGCAGCCAGUGAAGAACUGAAGCCCACAGUCCAACAACCCAUGAGGGACUGAACCCCGUCAGCAACUAUGUGAGUGAGCUUGAUGGCAGAUCCAUCCCUAGUUGAACCUUGAGAUGGCUACAGCCCUAGAGGACAACUUGACUGCAGCCUGUGAGAGACCAGAAGGAGAGGCCCCUGCUAAACCAUGCCCAGAUUCCUGAUCCACGGAACCUGAGAUAAUAAAUUGUGUUGUUUUAAGUCA